GAUCAUGCUCAGGAUGAACGCUAGCUACAGGCUUAACACAUGCAAGUCGAGGGGCAGCAUGGUCUUAGCUUGCUAAGACUGAUGGCGACCGGCGCACGGGUGAGUAACACGUAUCCAACCUGCCGUCUACUCUUGGACAGCCUUCUGAAAGGAAGAUUAAUACAAGAUGGCAUCAUGAGUCCGCAUGUUCACAUGAUUAAAGGUAUUCCGGUAGACGA
rnacentral:rRNA from 1 species